rnacentral:lncRNA from 1 species
AUGGAAGCUGUAGUUGGACUGUUGUUGAUGAUGUGCGGAGUGUCUCAUGGUGUGGAAACUUACUGUGAUGGCAGACAGGAUGGAGCUCAGUGUUAUGGAGCUUUGGGAGGAACUGUGAACAUCCAGCUGAUGGACAGCACCUCAGAAAUACCUCGAUACCAAUUGUCAAAGAAUUCAUUAAAAAUACUAGAUGUGAAAAAGAAAAAUGUUAUUACUAAAAUCAAAGAACAGAGAUGUCUAAUUUUUCCAGGUAAUGGAACAUUUAGGCUUAGUAAUCUGAAAAGGAAUGACAGUGGUAGUUAUACCCUUCAAACCUUUAAUUCAGAUGGAAGAACAUCAGGCGAGUGGACUUUACAGUUGUUUAUUCAAGCUCCUGUGUCCUCUGUCCUGCUGGUCUCUGAGUGUCUGUCCCAGGGAGAGAGGAGGGUGUCCUGCUCCUCUGAGGGAGGGGACAGUCCUCAGUACAGCUGGACUCUGGAUGGACGCACACUGACAGAUGCUGAGCUCCUUUCUGUAAACAAUGAAACUAACAUCAUCACUCUGAAACAGCACGUCUCAGGAUGUCUGGUCUGCUCAGUCAGGAACAACGUCAGUAAUGUCUCCAAAGAACAGAAGAUAUCUACCUGUGGAGCAGGUCUUUUGCCACUGGUUUUUUUGCCAGUGAUCGGUGGUGUCAUCUCAGCGGUGGUCAUUUUCUUAUUUGUCGGUGUAGCGGUCAUCUGUACUCAGAGAAGAAAACCAAACAAUAAGUCCACAAAACACAAAGUAGAACAAAAUGACUAUGAAGAAAUGAUGUCAUUGUCAUGUAGCAGCAGAGGAAGCAAGUGGAGAAAAGAGGGCCAGUGAAGUAACCAAGUGAAGCUUUCACCUUUUUCCUAUCAGAGAAAUACACAUCAUCAAAUCUCAUGAAUACCUUUUUUUUUUUUUGCUUUCACUGCACUUUUUUAUUAUAACGGGGGAAAAUUCCCCCAGUCUUAGAUUGUCUCUAGGUUUAAUUAAAAGCACUGUGUUACACAAAUACUGUGAAUGUUUUCUGUACUUGUCUUCUGUUGAAGCUGUGAUACAAUAAAGG